rnacentral:rRNA from 1 species
AUUGAACGCUGGCGGCAGGCCUAACACAUGCAAGUCGAGCGAGCGGCGGACGGGUGAGUAAUGUCUGGGAAACUGCCUGAUGGAGGGGGAUAACUACUGGAAACGGUAGCUAAUCCCGCAUACCAUCAGAUGUGCCCAGAUGGGAUUAGAUAGUAGGUGGGGUAACGGCUCACGUAGGCGACGAUCCCUAGCUGUUCUGAGAGGAUGACCAGCCACACUGGAACUGGGACACGGUCAAGACUCCUACGGGAGGCGGCGGUGGGGAAUAGUGCACAAUGGGCGAAAGCCUGAUGCAGCCAUGCCGCGUGUGUGAAGAAGGCCUUCGGGUUGUAAAGCACUUUCAGCGGGGAGGCGUUACCCGCAGAAGAAGCACCGGCUAACACCGUGACAGCAGCCGCGGUAAUUC